GAGGAGUAUCCGUAAUUAACAUCGGCUGUUUGAUUUUUGUGGAAUAAUUCUUAUUCUUUUGGCAACUUGGACAGGAUCGAACGAACUCUGCUAUUUCCUUCGCCAUGCCUGGCCAAUAGAAACGUUCACGAAUAAGCUGAUACAAUUUGUAACUUCCUCUAUGGCCUCCUACUACCGAAUCAUGAUAUUCUUGGAUAAUCUGCGAUCGUCUUGACCUUAGCGGGACUUCAACCUCACCAGCACACAAAGUAGACAGAAUAUUUAUCAUGCGGGAAAACCAUGGCAUCGCCAAGCUCAAUGUGAUAUUGCUGCAUCUGAUCCGACGAAAACCCAAUUCGACUUAGUAAUCCCACAGUGGUCUGAGAAGUAUCAUUACAACUUAAGGGAAUAAAAUGAACAAGGUUGUCUUGACGCAUAAAAAGAUUAUCUUCUACAUUAAAUAUAGCAGAGAUUUCUACCGAGGUCACUACCCCCCUAGGAU